UUAAGUUCAGCGGGUAUCCUUACCUGAUCCGAGAUCCACUGGAGUCAAAUACCGUAGGGAACGGUGGAUGCCAAUCAAGCACCUAGAGCGAGAGAAGUCCAUGCGCUCGAGGAUCUAGACUACAGCAUCGCCACUGUCUUUCAGGCCCGUCCCUGACGAAUGGAGCGGGGGGACGAACAGCCCAACACCCAAGCCAAGCU
rnacentral:misc_RNA from 1 species